rnacentral:rRNA from 1 species
AGGACGAACGCUGGCGGCGUGCCUAACACAUGCAAGUCGAACGAGGUCCAACCGGUAGCAAUACUGGUGAAGAUCAAGUGGCGAACGGGUGAGUAGCACGUGAGCAACCUGCCCCGAAGACUGGGACAACACCGGGAAACCGGUGCUAAUACCGGAUAUCCCCACCGAGUCGCAUGGCUUGGUGAGGAAAUGGAUUCCGCUUCGGGAGGGGCUCGCGGCCUAUCAGCUAGUUGGUGAGGUAACGGCUCACCAAGGCUUCGACGGGUAGCUGGUCUGAGAGGACGAUCAGCCACACUGGGACUGAGACACGGCCCAGACUCCUACGGGAGGCAGCAGUGGGGAAUCUUGCACAAUGGGCGAAAGCCUGAUGCAGCAACGCCGCGUGAGGGACGAAGGCUUUCUGAGUUGUAAACCUCUUUCAGCAGGGACGAUUGUGACGGUACCUGCAGAAGAAGCCCCGGCCAACUACGUGCCAGCAGCCGCGGUAAUACGUAGGGGGCAAGCGUUGUCCGGAUUUAUUGGGCGUAAAGAGCUCGUAGGCGGCUUGGCAAGUCGAAUGUGAAACCUCCAGGCUCAACCUGGAGAUGCCAUUUGAUACUGCCAUGGCUAGGGUUUGGUAGGGGACCACGGAAUUCCUGGUGUAGCGGUGAAAUGCGCAGAUAUCAGGAGGAACACCAGCGGCGAAGGCGGUGGUCUGGGCCAAUACUGACGCUGAGGAGCGAAAGCGUGGGGAGCGAACAGGAUUAGAUACCCUGGUAGUCCACGCCGUAAACGUUGGGCACUAGGUGUGGGGACCUAUCGACGGUUUCUGUGCCGCAGCUAACGCAUUAAGUGCCCCGCCUGGGGAGUACGGCCGCAAGGCU